GUCAAUGAUGAGCUGAUUGAGGGGAUCGAAAGAUCCACCGUUUACACCGUAAGACGGCACGCCAACCUUGAUCAGUUCAUCACCAGU
rnacentral:antisense_RNA from 1 species